rnacentral:rRNA from 1 species
UACGUAGGGUGCGAGCGUUAAUCGGAAUUACUGGGCGUAAAGCGUGCGCAGGCGGUUAUUUAAGUCAGGUGUGAAAGCCCUGGGCUUAACCUAGGAAUUGCGCUUGAGACUGGAUAGCUUGGAGUGCGGCAGAGGGAGGUGGAAUUCCACGUGUAGCAGUGAAAUGCGUAGAGAUGUGGAGGAACACCGAUGGCGAAGGCAGCCCCCUGGGUCAGCACAUGACGCUCGAUGCACGAAAGCGUGGGGAGCAAACAGG